rnacentral:rRNA from 1 species
AUUGAACGCUGGCGGCAUGCCUUACACAUGCAAGUCGAACGGUAACGGGCCUUCGGGUGCCGACGAGUGGCGCACGGGUGAGUAAUACAUCGGAACGUGCCCGAUCGUGGGGGAUAACGAGGCGAAAGCUUUGCUAAUACCGCAUACGAUCUACGGAUGAAAGCAGGGGACCGCAAGGCCUUGCGCGGACGGAGCGGCCGAUGGCAGAUUAGGUAGUUGGUGGGAUAAAAGCUUACCAAGCCGACGAUCUGUAGCUGGUCUGAGAGGAUGAUCAGCCACACUGGGACUGAGACACGGCCCAGACUCCUACGGGAGGCAGCAGUGGGGAAUUUUGGACAAUGGGCGCAAGCCUGAUCCAGCCAUGCCGCGUGCAGGAUGAAGGCCUUCGGGUUGUAAACUGCUUUUGUACGGAACGAAAAGCCUUCUUUUAAUACAGGAGGGUCAUGACGGUACCGUAAGAAUAAGCACCGGCCAACUACGUG